rnacentral:rRNA from 1 species
AAAGCCUGAUGCAGCAACGCCGCGUGUGUGAUGAAGGCCUUCGGGUCGUAAAGCACUUUUCUGGGAGAUGAGAAAGGACAGUAUCCCAGGAAUAAGUCUCGGCUAACUACGUGCCAGCAGCCGCGGUAAAACGUAGGAGGCGAGCGUUAUCCGGAUUCACUGGGCGUAAAGCGCGUGCAGGUGGCGCGGUAAGUUGGGCGUGAAAUCUCCCGGCUCAACUGGGAGAGGUCGUCCAAUACUACCGUGCUUGAGAGCAGAAGAGGAAGAUGGAAUUCCCGGUGUAGUGGUGAAAUGCGUAGAUAUCGGGAGGAACACCAGUGGCGAAGGCGAUCUUCUGGUCUGUUUCUGACACUCAGACGCGACAGCUAGGGUAGUAAACGGGAUUAGAGACCCCGGUAAUCCUAGCCGUAAACGAUGUGAACUUGGCGUUGGUGGGUUAAACUCCAUCAGUGCCGUAGCAAACGCGAUAAGUUCACCGCCUGGGGACUACGGCCGCAAGGUUA